CCGAUUGAAUGGUCCGGUGAAGCCUCGGGAUUGUGAUUAGUUUCCUUUAUUGGAAGUUUGUCACGAGAACUUGUCUAAACCUUAUCAUUUAGAGGAAGGUGAAGUCGUAACAAGGUUUCCGUAGGUGAACCUGCGGAAGGAUCA
rnacentral:rRNA from 1 species